rnacentral:rRNA from 1 species
GACGAACGCUGGCGGCGUGCUUAACACAUGCAAGUCGAACGGAAAGGCCUGCUUUCCCUUGUGGAUUGCGGGUACUCGAGUGGCGAACGGGUGAGUAACACGUGAGUGAUCUGCCCCCAACUUGGGUAUAAGCCUGGGAAACUGGGUCUAAUUCCCGAUAGGACUGCAGGGUGGUGCCUGUGGUGGAAAACGAUUUUCUAGUGGUUGGGGAUGAGCUCGCGGCCUAUCAGCUUGUUGGUGGGGUAAUGGCCUACCAAGGCGGCGACGGGUAGCCGGCCUGAGAGGGUGGACGGCCACAUUGGGACUGAGAUACGGCCCAGACUCCUACGGGAGGCAGCAGUGGGGAAUAUUGCACAAUGGGCGGAAGCCUGAUGCAGCGACGCCGCGUGGGGGAUGACGGCCUUCGGGUUGUAAACUCCUUUCGACCGCGAGGAAGCCACCUGGUUGGAAGGGUGGUGACGAUAGUGGUAGAAGAAGCACCGGCUAACUACGUG